UACGGAGGAUGCGAGCGUUAUCCGGAUUUAUUGGGUUUAAAGGGUGCGUAGGCGGGAUGCCAAGUCAGCGGUAAAAAUGCGGUGCUCAACGCCGUCGAGCCGUUGAAACUGGCGUUCUUGAGUGGGCGAGAAGUAUGCGGAAUGCGUGGUGUAGCGGUGAAAUGCAUAGAUAUCACGCAGAACUCCGAUUGCGAAGGCGGCCUGCUGGACAUUAACUGACGCUGAGGCGCGAAAGCGUGGGGAGCAAACAGG
rnacentral:rRNA from 1 species